CACAGGGGGUGCAAACGUUGCUCGGAAUCAUUGGGCGUAAAGCGCACGUAGGCGGUCUGUUAUGUCGGAUGUGAAAGCCCUUGGCUCAACUGAGGAAGUGCAUCCGAAACUGGCAGGCUAGAGUACUAAAGAGGAUCGCGGAAUUCCCGGUGUAGAGGUGAAAUUCGUAGAUAUCGGGAGGAACACCGGUGGCGAAGGCGGCGAUCUGGGUAGAUACUGACGCUGAGGUGCGAAAGCGUGGGGAGCAAACAGG
rnacentral:rRNA from 1 species